rnacentral:rRNA from 1 species
UACGUAAGGACCGAGCGUUGUCCGGAAUCAUUGGGCGUAAAGGGUACGUAGGCGGUCUAGUAAGUUAGAAGUGAAAUCCUAUAGCUCAACUAUAGUAAGCUUUUAAAACUGCUCAUCUUGAGGUAUGGAAGGGAAAGUGGAAUUCCUAGUGUAGCGGUGAAAUGCGCAGAUAUUAGGAGGAAUACCGGUGGCGAAGGCGACUUACUGGGCUCAUUCUGACGCUGAGGAACGAAAGCGUGGGUAGCAAACAGG